rnacentral:rRNA from 1 species
CACGAAGUUAGCCGGGGCUUAUUCUUACGGUACCGUCAUUAUCUUCCCGUACAAAAGAGCUUUACAACCCUAGGGCCUUCAUCACUCACGCGGCAUGGCUGGAUCAGGCUUGCGCCCAUUGUCCAAUAUUCCCCACUGCUGCCUCCCGUAGGAGUUUGGGCCGUGUCUCAGUCCCAAUGUGGCUGAUCAUCCUCUCAGACCAGCUACUGAUCGUCGCCUUGGUAGGCCGUUACCCUACCAACUAGCUAAUCAGACGCGGGCCGAUCUUUUGGCGAUAAAUCUUUCCCCGUAAGGGCUUAUCCGGUAUUAGCACAAGUUUCCCUGUGUUGUUCCGAACCAAAGGUACGUUCCCACGUGUUACUCACCCGUCUGCCACUGACACCGAAGUGCCCGUUCGACUUGCAUGUGUUAAGCCUGCCGCCAGCGUUCGCUCUGAGCCAGGAUCAAACUCU